rnacentral:rRNA from 1 species
UACGGAGGGUGCGAGCGUUGUCCGGAAUCACUGGGCGUAAAGGGCGCGUAGGUGGCGCGGGCAGUCAACGGUGAAAGUUCGGGGCUCAACCCUGAAUCGGCCGUCGAUACUCCCGUGCUCGAGCACUGUAGAGGCAGGUGGAAUUCCGGGUGUAGCGGUGGAAUGCGUAGAGAUCCGGAAGAACACCGGUGGCGAAGGCGGCCUGCUGGGCAGUAGCUGACGCUGAUGCGCGACAGCGUGGGGAGCAAACAGG